UACAGGGGGUGCAAACGUUGCUCGGAAUUAUUGGGCGUAAAGCGCGCGUAGGCGGCUACUUAAGUCGGAUGUGAAAGCCCUUGGCUCAACUGAGGAAGUGCACCCGAAACUGAGUGGCUUGAGUACUAAAGAGGGUCGCGGAAUUCCCGGUGUAGAGGUGAAAUUCGUAGAUAUCGGGAGAAACACCGGUGGCGAAGGCGGCGACCUGGGUAGAUACUGACGCUGAGGCGCGAAAGCGUGGGGAGCAAACAGG
rnacentral:rRNA from 1 species